rnacentral:lncRNA from 1 species
GGAGGACUUGCCUGCCCUGGAGUGCUUCCUUGGGACACCUGUGGCUUUCAGGGAAGUGCCCACAUUCCUGAGAUGCCUGGUUCCAAAAAGGUGCCUGGCAGGACCAGAAUAGGACAGCUGAGAAACAAGAGAAUGCAAUCAGCUCCCUGCCACCCCCUGCCUGGAAGUGGGUCAGGCCUGGUGGCCAAGGAUGGGCACCCAGCAGCUUCUGGCUGGUUCACCUGGAGCUGCCAAGAGUUGUUGCCACUCAGGGACCAUGGAGCCUUGCACAGGCCAUGGAUGCUGUGGGACCCACAUUCCAGAAGAGGAGUCCUUGUCCUCCAACACCAUAGAGUCUAGGACCGUACUCAGACAUUGAGAUUCUCUUUCCUGCCUUGCUGAGGAUGUUCAGUUGGCCCCUGAUGAAUGAAAC